rnacentral:tRNA from 1 species
GGGGCUGGGGCUCAGCGGUAGAGUGCUCACCUAGCAUGUGUGAGGCCCUGAGUUCGAUCCUCAGCACCA